ACGCACGCUGGCGGCGUGCUUCACACAUGCAAGUCGAACGGAAAGGCCCUGCUUUUGUGGGGUGCUCGAGUGGCGAACGGGUGAGUAACACGUGAGUAACCUGCCCUUGACUUUGGGAUAACUUCAGGAAACUGGGGCUAAUACCGGAUAGGAGCUCCUGCUGCAUGGUGGGGGUUGGAAAGUUUCGGCGGUUGGGGAUGGACUCGCGGCUUAUCAGCUUGUUGGUGGGGUAGUGGCUUACCAAGGCUUUGACGGGUAGCCGGCCUGAGAGGGUGACCGGCCACAUUGGGACUGAGAUACGGCCCAGACUCCUACGGGAGGCAGCAGUGGGGAAUAUUGCACAAUGGGCGGAAGCCUGAUGCAGCAACGCCGCGUGCGGGAGGACGGCCUUCGGGUUGUAAACCGCUUUCGCCUGUGACGAAGCGUGAGUGACGGUAAUGGGUAAAGAAGCACCGGCUAACUACGU
rnacentral:rRNA from 1 species